rnacentral:lncRNA from 1 species
UACCAUGGCAGAGUUUAUAACAUAAUAGAAUCAAAUUUUCAGUGUUUAGGGUUGAGAUGCUCGUAUCAAAAUCCAUUGAGUAUUUCUUCAUAGAACAUACAUGUUCAGCAUCAUCACAUCAAUACCAACAGUAGCAUAAAACAUGACAUACUCCAGCCCGCCAUCAUGACUACAAAUGCACCAACUAAAUAUCCGUAGCUAGGUAGCAGCCAACACAUAGUAGGCAAAACACAAUAGACGGUCCUGAUAAUGACAAAGGGCUAAUACCUACUCCUCUCUUUUAGGAUAAAUUGAAAAGAAUAAGAAUGCCCCUGCAUAUGCAUGGUGGAUCACAGAGAUCCACCGAUCUCCAAUUUUUGGUCUGCACUCAUUUAAUAUUUGCCGUCAUUCAUCAAUUUUCAGGCAUCCAUCCCGUGGGUUUGUAGUCAAGUAGGUGCCUUUGAAAUUGGUCUUCUGAUGGCAGAUAAUUGUCAUCACACCUGUCGCAUCCAUCGCUGCAGGCAGAACAACUCUUGGGAGCUUCUGUUGAAGAACAACAUAGUAACAUAGUAAGAAGUGUAGUUUAUUUAAGAUUGACUAGUAGCACAAUAAUAGUACAAAAUCAUACCAUGCAUUUUUUUAUGAAUGUUGGUAUUGCUCAACUUGUGGACUAGUGGCAUGUAUGGUGUAGUAUGUGGACCAGCUCCGUAAGUGUCCAUAAAUGACUCAACAUCGUUAACAAAGGAGAUAUGAUAAUUCUUCUCCUGUCAAGUAAGCUCGGAGCCAGCAGUGUAAUAGGUCUCGUCUACUAUAUUCCGUAUUUUUCUACGAGAUAGAAAAUAGGUUGCAGGUUUUAAUUAAAAUGUCAAGUUAGGAGUGAAUAACAAACAAUUUAAGUUAGAUUACUUAACAAAUGUGUGUUUAAGAAACUCACACGGAGGAAAAAUAGGAAUCAUGUCUAUUUCCACCCAAAUGUCUUGAUCAAAAUGAGGAAAGGUGCCUUGAAAGAUGCCAAUAUCAAAGAUUAUAAUCAUACUCUCCUCAAAUCCACGAGCCUUGCAUAAUCCUUUCCAACUAGUGCAACCAAAAUAGGUGUGAUCUAUUUCAUUGUAGAUCCUAGCUUUGAAAAUGAAACCAUGUUUCGUCUUCAGGUAAACAGUACUUUCAGCAAUGUCAUCUCUGUCUUUGACAUGCAGCUUCUCUAGAACAAAAGGCCUUGCAUAGCAGGGGAUGCGCUAGUCGGAUUGAGAAAAAAAUUUCCAGAAAUUACACGUUAAAACAAAACAACUUGAGACAUGUUCGGUUAAGAAGGAAAUACGUGCAAAAAUUACCGUAUAAUAUUUGUAGUCCUCUUUAAGCGUUAGCGAGAAGUACCUAUCAUCCUCUAGAUGAGGAUCGUCGCACAUACCCCCAUUAUCGGAAUAUUAGGGGCACUCGGGGAUCCCAUCGACCUCAUCUUCAUUCAUUUGCUGUGUUCAUAGAUGGAAGAUUAAAAAUCAACAAAAAGUUCAUAACGGUAAUACGUGCGAUCACACAUUACCAACACUAUGUUUGCCGCCUCGGCGAGAUCAGUCCAUUCUAUCUUGACCAUGUUGGGUUUUCAAUCAGGGACGCCCACUUUUUAUAAAUUGAAGAAAAAUAUGAAUCACAGACUAAUGAAUUCGGGUCAUAUGUAAGCAAAUUAAACAUGCAUAUAGCAAUCUUUAUAGAAACAUAAAAAUUAAGUUCAGAAGCAUCGAUCAUAGCAAUUUCAUUGAAAGCAACUAUAUAACAAGAUAUAUCAGUCGAUGUGUUGUAUGAAAAAAUUCAGCAUGACCUUUGUUAGUAAUUCGACAUAUUGAGUGCUAGAAAUUUGGCAAAAUGGAAUUUAAUCAACGUUUCUCAAAACAUUGACACUCCUUAUAAACACCCGCAUCAUGAAUAACUAGCUCAAGCUUUUAGUUUUACAUGUACACUAUCUAAAAACUACUAUUAACUUUUUCUAGUAUAAAUAAUAUGCUACGCCUAGAAAAUGUAUGUCUUCAAUUUACAUCUACAAUAAAAUAUAUCUACGGCCAAAAAAAUCUACAUCUAGUACUAAAUUUUUCUAGUACAAGAACAACAAGAAUCUACCGGGGGACCGAGAAGACGGGGAGGUUGAGGACGACGGCAACGGACAUUGAGGACGUCGUGGAUGUGGUGGACGGUUGAGUCGGCCGAACGCGAGGGCGGUGGUGAUGGCGGGGACGUUCAAGGCGGCGGCGGACGGCGAUGACGUCUGAUCCGGCGGCGGCAGUCGGCGAAGGCAAUGGGGACAACAAGGACGAGGGGGGGGGCACCGACCUGGUAGGCGCAGGAGGGCGAGCACGACGGUGGCGACGUCCAAGGCCGCCAUGAUGAUGGCAACGACGGCAACGGGCGAGAGAGAUGGGGAAAAUUAGUUCUUUUGCCCCAUUUUACUUCUCCAUUAGAUACUUUGCCCCCCCUAGACUGUCGGGUAGGGCCGGGGCCACUGUUCGGUGAAAAAAUCCUGGGGUGAAGGACUUGGCCUACAUGUCAUUGGGCGUAUGGUUCUAUGGCCCAGUUGUCAGUGAACGAAUUGGAGUUAAAAUAUAGCUAAAAAAAUCAGUGAAUGGUUUUUGUGUGUGUUUAUGCAUGUUUACUCCACUUCUUCACUCUAGCACAAUACUUCCAUUGUUCAAGCAAUAUAUUUCAUUUAGUCAUGGAAUGACUUUGCAUUCAUAUGAUCGAAAUACAAUGUUUAAACUACCAAACUCCAGCAUCACCAGGUCUGCCACUAGGUACUCCAGGGAGCCUUUCAGCCAUCCUCCACCCAAAGGUACAUUGCAUCAUGAAGUCUUGAGGUCUUGAUCAUAAUUAACUCUCAAAACUCCCAUGAAAUUCACUCAACCAACCCCGUCUACCUGAGCGUACCAAACUAAAAUUUCAUCAAAAUCCCGGGCAUUGGUGUCAAGAGAGUGGGGUUUUUCCUACCUCAUGAUACUACUUGCAAGAUCAACACUAACAAUGUAAUCUACUAUCAUUCAUGGUGGAAAGGUGGUAACUAAUGUAAAAUAAAACAUAGGUAAAACAAUGAUCAAAGUGACUUACCUUCCUGCUGAUAUUGAAAUUGUAAGGACUCGUAAUAGCAAGCCUCGCACUCCGGAUAGUCUAACGAAACAAACAUUAACACAACAUAAGAAAUUCAUCCUAGUAAUAAUAUAACAACAAGUAAAACUAGCAAUAAAACAAUCAAAGAAAACAAAGGCACAAAUAAAAGAAAACACCGAAGGAAAAGGUAAAGAAAAGAUCAACUCAUACAGUAGCAAUCAAUAACUCACAUAACAGUACUAAAUAAAUCUAAAUAACUAAUAAACAAAAAAGAAAAAAAAUACAAUUUCAUCAAAACAACCGAAAGAAAAUUAACUAAAUUAUUUACUAGCAAAAACAAACAAUUUAAUAGCUAUCUACUAACACUAGUUAUUAACUACACAAGAGUUAAUACUAAACAGUAGCAAAAACCUAUUUAAUUAAUUCUAAAAACUAGCUACUAUUGUCUAACAGAAACAUACUGCAACAUGUUAAAAGUUGCAAAAAACAACUAAAUCUAAUUAAAAUUCACUAAGUUAUUAACUAAUCAAUUUUAUAUAGAAAACAAUACUGUUUUUAGUAAAACUCUAAUUUAAAUUAUGCUAAAAAUAAUUAAACAAGUCCUACUGGAUAAACAAUCUAUGUAGUGACUAGGAGCAAAAAGAAUUAAAUUAAAACCUAUUUUUAAACUCAAGUUAUUGACAAAUUAGUAAUUUAAGCAGAUCAAAUUUAAACUAUUCAAUCAAGAAAAAGUUUUACAUCUACAGAAACUCCAUAAUUUUCUUAACCUAAUGCAAAAAGAAUCAAUCAAAAAUACUAAAAACUCUAGAAGUUAUUCAAUUUCUAAAAACAGAAACAAUUCUGAAAUCUAAAAAGAAAACAAAAAAAGAAAAAGAAACUAAGCAUCGGCUAUGGGGAAAGAGGUGCUAUGUGACUGGCCAUGAGGUGUGAGUGCCCGAAGUAAACUAGCGAACAGCCGAACCAAACAAGAAAAUGUUUCGGGCAGUAAAAAAAGAAAACAGUGAUCUAAUCUCGAGCGUCCAUUUCAGAUCUGAAGGUGGCGAGGGAUUUCGGUGUUCACCGCGGCUGAGGGAGAACUCCGGCCACGGCAGCGACACUAUGGAUUAUGGCGAUGGCGUUCCAGGGGUCCUCCGGCGACGACGAGGUUGGUAGACGACGUGGAUGAUGACGGCAGAGUGUUUAGUGGCAGUGGUAGGGCUCGGGGAGGGAUGUAGGGAUUAGAGGGAGCUCGGGCAUGGCGGCGGUGGCUUUGGGCUUUGACGAGGGAUUGCAGUGGCGGUGGUGCAUUGGAGGAGGGCGGUAAGGGGGAAUCGGCCGAGGGGAGAACAAUCUUUACAGGGGAGGCUUUCGUGGGAGAGAGGGCGCUCUGGAUCGGCAAGAGAUCGAGAUCCAGCGAGAAUCUCCGGCGAAUGGGAAGGGAAGUGAGUUAGGGAGGAAGGUGAGCACUCGGGGAUUCAGGCGGUCAGGUGGGACCGGGUGGCAGAGAGAGCGAGAGGGAAGGGGAAACGAUUCAGACGGCCAAUUCGAUGGGGAUUCGCUG